UUAAGUCGACCGCCUGGGGAGUACGGCCGCAAGGUUAAAACUCAAAUGAAUUGACGGGGGCCCGCACAAGCGGUGGAGCAUGUGGUUUAAUUCGAUGCAACGCGAAGAACCUUACCUGGUCUUGACAUCCACGGAAGUUUUCAGAGAUGAGAAUGUGCCUUCGGGAACCGUGAGACAGGUGCUGCAUGGCUGUCGUCAGCUCGUGUUGUGAAAUGUUGGGUUAAGUCCCGCAACGAGCGCAACCCUUAUCCUUUGUUGCCAGCGGUCCGGCCGGGAACUCAAAGGAGACUGCCAGUGAUAAACUGGAGGAAGGUGGGGAUGACGUCAAGUCAUCAUGGCCCUUACGACCAGGGCUACACACGUGCUACAAUGGCGCAUACAAAGAGAAGCGACCUCGCGAGAGCAAGCGGACCUCAUAAAGUGCGUCGUAGUCCGGAUUGGAGUCUGCAACUCGACUCCAUGAAGUCGGAAUCGCUAGUAAUCGUGGAUCAGAAUGCCACGGUGAAUACGUUCCCGGGCCUUGUACACACCGCCCGUCACACCAUGGGAGUGGGUUGCAAAAGAAGUAGGUAGCUUAACCUUCGGGAGGGCGCUUACCACUUUGUGAUUCAUGACUGGGGUGAAGUCGUAACAAGGUAACCGUAGGGGAACCUGCGGUUGGAUCACCUCCUUA
rnacentral:rRNA from 3 species